GAUGAACGCUAGCUACAGGCUUAACACAUGCAAGUCGAGGGGCAGCAUGGUCUUAGCUUGCUAAGGCCGAUGGCGACCGGCGCACGGGUGAGUAACACGUAUCCAACCUGCCGUCUACUCUUGGACAGCCUUCUGAAAGGAAGAUUAAUACAAGAUGGCAUCAUGAGUCCGCAUGUUCACAUGAUUAAAGGUAUUCCGGUAGACGAUGGGGAUGCGUUCCAUUAGAUAGUAGGCGGGGUAACGGCCCACCUAGUCUUCGAUGGAUAGGGGUUCUGAGAGGAAGGUCCCCCACAUUGGAACGGAGACACGGUCCAAACUCCUACGGGAGGCAGCAGUGAGGAAUAGUGGUCAAUGGGCGAGAGCCUGAACCAGCCAAGUAGCGUGAAGGAUGACUGCCCUAUGGGUUGUAAACUUCUUUUAUAAAGGAAUAAAGUCGGGUAUGGAUACCCGUUUGCAUGUACUUUAUGAAUAAGGAUCGGCUAACUCCGUG
rnacentral:rRNA from 1 species